AGCGAACGCUGGCGGCAGGCCUAACACAUGCAAGUCGAACGAACCCUUCGGGGUUAGUGGCGGACGGGUGAGUAACACGUGGGAACGUGCCGUUAGGUUCGGAAUAACUCAGGGAAACUUGUGCUAAUACCGAAUGUGCCCUUCGGGGGAAAGAUUUAUCGCCUUUAGAGCGGCCCGCGUCUGAUUAGCUAGUUGGGGAGGUAAUGGCUCACCAAGGCUACGAUCAGUAGCUGGUCUGAGAGGAUGACCAGCCACAUUGGGACCGAGACACGGCCCAAACUCCUACGGGAGGCAGCAGUGGGGAAUCUUGCGCAAUGGGCGAAAGCCUGACGCAGCCAUGCCGCGUGGAUGAUGAAGGUCUUAGGAUUGUAAAAUCCUUUCACCGGUGAAGAUAAUGACUGUAGCCGGAGAAGAAGCCCCGGCUAACUUCGUGCCAGCCGCCGCGGUAAAAC
rnacentral:rRNA from 1 species